AGGAAUAUUGGUCAAUGGGCGAGAGCCUGAACCAGCCAAGUAGCGUGAAGGAUGACUGCCCUAUGGGUUGUAAACUUCUUUUAUAAAGGAAUAAAGUCGGGUAUGGAUACCCGUUUGCAUGUACUUUAUGAAUAAGGAUCGGCUAACUCCGUGCCAGCAGCCGCGGUAAUACGGAGGAUCCGAGCGUUAUCCGGAUUUAUUGGGUUUAAAGGGAGCGUAGAUGGAUGUUUAAGUCAGUUGUGAAAGUUUGCGGCUCAACCGUAAAAUUGCAGUUGAUACUGGAUAUCUUGAGUGCAGUUGAGGCAGGCGGAAUUCGUGGUGUAGCGGUGAAAUGCUUAGAUAUCACGAAGAACUCCGAUUGCGAAGGCAGCCUGCUAAGCUGCAACUGACAUUGAGGCUCGAAAGUGUGGGUAUCAAACAGGAUUAGAUACCCUGGUAGUCCACACGGUAAACGAUGAAUACUCGCUGUUUGCGAUAUACUGCAAGCGGCCAAGCGAAAGCGUUAAGUAUUCCACCUGGGGAGUACGCCGGCAACGGUGAAACUCAAAGGAAUUGACGGGGGCCCGCACAAGCGGAGGAACAUGUGGUUUAAUUCGAUGAUACGCGAGGAACCUUACCCGGGCUUAAAUUGCAGAUGAAUUACGGUGAAAGCCGUAAGCCGCAAGGCAUCUGUGAAGGUGCUGCAUGGUUGUCGUCAGCUCGUGCCGUGAGGUGUCGGCUUAAGUGCCAUAACGAGUGCAACCCUUGUUGUCAGUUACUAACAGGUUCCGCUGAGGACUCUGACAAGACUGCCAUCGUAAGAUGUGAGGAAGGUGGGGAUGACGUCAAAUCAGCACGGCCCUUACGUCCGGGGCUACACACGUGUUACAAUGGGGGGUACAGAGGGCCGCUACCACGCGAGUGGAUGCCAAUCCCCAAAACCUCUCUCAGUUCGGACUGGAGUCUGCAACCCGACUCCACGAAGCUGGAUUCGCUAGUAAUCGCGCAUCAGCCACGGCGCGGUGAAUACGUUCCCG
rnacentral:rRNA from 1 species